AGACAUGUAGCUUAGUGGUAAAGUAGCCUAUUGGCUGGGGAGUUGUAACUCAGUAGUAUAGCAGCUUGGUGUUUGCAGGUGUGCAGUUUCCUUGGGUUUGAAUCCUAGCUUGUCUA
rfam:Picea glauca, whole genome shotgun sequence.